rnacentral:rRNA from 1 species
UACAGAGGCCUCGAGCGUUAGGCGGAAUCACUGGGCUUAAAGCGUGUGUAGGCGGACUUCUAAGUACCUUGUGAAAUCCCACAGCUUAACUGUGGAACUGCUUGGUAUACUGGUUGUCUUGAGGUACCUAGGGGCGAGCGGAACAAGUGGUGGAGCGGUGAAAUGCGUAGAUAUCAGGAGGAACACCGGUGGCGAAGGCGCUCAUCUGGCCCAAUACUGACGCUGAGGCGCGAAAGCUAGGGGAGCAAACGGG